GACGAACGCUGGCGGCGUGCUUAACACAUGCAAGUCGAACGGAAAGGCCCUGCUUUUGUGGGGUGCUCGAGUGGCGAACGGGUGAGUAACACGUGAGUAACCUGCCCUUGACUUUGGGAUAACUUCAGGAAACUGGGGGUAAUACCGGAUAGGAGCUCCUGCUGCAUGGUGGGGGUUGGAAAGUUUCGGCGGUUGGGGAUGGACUCGCGGCUUAUCAGCUUGUUGGUGGGGUAGUGGCUUACCAAGGCUUUGACGGGUAGCCGGCCUGAGAGGGUGACCGGCCACAUUGGGACUGAGAUACGGCCCAGACUCCUACGGGAGGCAGCAGUGGGGAAUAUUGCACAAUGGGCGGAAGCCUGAUGCAGCAACGCCGCGUGCGGGAUGACGGCCUUCGGGUUGUAAACCGCUUUCGCCUGUGACGAAGCGUGAGUGACGGUAAUGGGUGAAGAAGCACCGGCUAACUACGUG
rnacentral:rRNA from 1 species